rnacentral:tRNA from 1 species
UGGGUUUUGGCUUAGUGAUAGAGUGCUUGCCUAGCAUGCAUGAAGCCCUGGGUUCCAUUCUCAGUACCACAG